UCUGGAACCACCUGAUCCCAUCCCGAACUCAGAAGUGAAACAGUCCUGCGCCGAUGGUAGUGUGGCGUUGCCCAUGUGAGAGUAGGUCAUCGUCAGGC
rnacentral:rRNA from 1 species